GACGAGCGCUGGCGGCGUGCUUAACACAUGCAAGUCGAACGGAAAGGCCCUGCUUUUGUGGGGUGCCCGAGUGGCGAACGGGUGAGUAACACGUGAGUAACCUGCCCUUGACUUUGGGAUAACUUCAGGAAACUGGGGCUAAUAUCGGAUAGGAGCUCCUGCUGCAUGGUGGGGGUUGGAAAGUUUCGGCGGUUGGGGCUGGACUCGCGGCUUAUCAGCUUGUUGGUGGGGUAGUGGCUUACCAAGGCUUUGACGGGUAGCCGGCCUGAGAGGGUGACCGGCCACAUUGGGACUGAGAUACGGCCCAGACUCCUACGGGAGGCAGCAGUGGGGAAUAUUGCACAAUGGGCGGAAGCCUGAUGCAGCAACGCCGCGUGCGGGAUGACGGCCUUCGGGUUGUAAACCGCUUUCGCCUGUGACGAAGCGUGAGUGACGGUAAUGGGUAAAGAAGCACCGGCUAACUACGUG
rnacentral:rRNA from 1 species